UGAACCGGUAUCGUUACUGUUUAGAAAACAAAACAAAAGGGACAUUAUCUCUCCCGUGUGGCCGCUCCACCGCCAACCUCCUCUCCCAUGGCUCCGGCCGCCGCCCCGCGCCCCACUUUCUCCCCUGGCUCCGGCCGCUGCUCCGCGCCCCCAUCUUCUUCCCUGGUUCUGGCCGCCGCCCCGUGCCUCACCUUCUCCCUGGCUUCGGCCGCCGCUCCGCGCCCUCCUUCUUCCCUGGCUCCGGCCGCCGCCCCGCGUCUCACCUUCUUCCUGGCUCCGGCCGUCGUCCCGCGCCUGACCUUGUCCCCUGGUUCCGGCCAGCGCCCCACGCCCCACCUUCCCCCCAGCUCCGUCCGGCACCCCAUGCCCCACCUUCUCCCAUGGCAGCGGCCGCCGCCCCUCCCCCAUCCCCAGCGCGCCAAACCCCAGUUCUCCACCUACCCCAUCGUGACGCCGCCCAUUCUUCUUCCUCCUGACUUCUCCUAGCCAUGGCGAGCGCCUCCUCCCUGCUCCAAGCUCGCUCCAGACUACGCAGAGUCGCCAACCCCCGCCGCCUCGCGUGGAGUACAACCCCGCCCAUGUACGAGGUUCAAAGACCUUAUAUAGAGAAGGAAAGGAGAUGUUAACGUCGGCAUCUUCCUCGUCGCCAUCCCGUUUCGUGCACUGUCCGAUCAAUUCUACCGUAGCUCCGAACAACAGGAGUAAAAUAAAGCAAGUUCAAGUAAAAUCUCAAAUAAAAAUUCAGUUCAAGUUGAAGCCCAGGAGUAUACCCAUAUGGAUCAGACACGACAGUCGAUCUUGUUGAUGAUUCUCAAUAAAUAGAUGGUGAAGUUGGCAAACAGCUGAAUCAGAUGGUGCCUACCCCUAAAGAUUAACAGUUACAAGUAACUGCAUUUUGUCGAAAGUUCUUCGGUAUAGCCCCCUCUCCAUCAAAGUAGAAUAGAACCUGCUGUUUAAAUCCUCCUUUGGCUUGGCUGGAACAUGAGUUUCAGUAACUCUUGCACAAAUUAUGGGGAAUUCCACGUUCUGAAUUGGACUUUUGAACUAAACAGGAAAGUUAUCACGUACUGAUUCUAUUCAUCAAACAGUACAUCUCAUACAUAAUUUCAAGUGGGAAAUGAGACAUACUAGUUCCUUAUGAUGACAAUUUAGUACUGCACCAUAUUAUCAAUAAAGAUAUGAACAGAUGUUUUCACCAUGUUUCAGCCCCAUAUACUUGUAAAGUUGUAAUCAACAGCUUACAACAUGGUGUAUUUCUUACCAAUUUCAUUUUAUCUACACAAUUUUCAGAAUGGCCUAACACAAAGUACUUACACAAACACAUAUGAGAUUGCCACGACAUGCCGGUGCACAAGACGCCGCAACCACGCCCCCCCACGCGCCGCCGUGACUACCGUCCUGCACUAGCCGCCAUGGCCACCAACCACAGUGGCGACUAGGGAUCGAGGCGUGGCCUGCUCAGGCGGGUGCUCGCACGCUGCAGUGUUGCUUCUCCGGCGAGGACGCCAUGCUGCACGGUGUGCCACACCACCGCAUCUCUGUUUUCUUCGUACAAACACAUUAUCACAGCGAGUAUGGAUGCGGCACCUUGGGGAAUAAUGCCUCCAAUGUGCAAGCCCAGGAUGACGACGCUGAUCACUAGCACGAAGGAUACCAAGCAGGCUAAGGAUGAAGUACACGAUGCAGGCAAGGAGGACAACCAAAACAUGCAAUCCGUACACAUAGCAGCAGCUGCAAGUUCGUCUGUCUAUGAUGAUAUGAUUGCAACUUCUUAAAAGAAGACUCUUGGACUUUCACAUGCUCUGCCUUCAUUCAUGUAGAUCUGCAAUCCUAUUGUUGGCUUAGUGGUAUUCAUGUGGACUUUAAAAUAACGACUGUUCUUGUAGGAGGUUCGAAGAUUAUCGUGGAGCAAGUUCAAGAGAUUAGUUUCGUGAAAAUGAAUGUGAUCUUUUGGUCAGGAUUUUGCAUGAUCCAUAGCCAUCGGUGGCAACAGGCGAGCAGUUUGAGGCCUCCUACGUGAGUCAUCCAUCGUCUUCUAUGCGUAAGAUUGUUGUCUCUACACAUCUAGCAUCAGAGUAUCUCCUCCCCUUGCCGCACAGACAUGUCAGGUGGUCGAGCUAGUGUUGUUUGUGAUUACUGGUCGUGACUCUUAUGAUGUCAUUGGACAAAGAAUUUGUUCUGUAACUCUGUAUUUGCAGGACCUUUAGCAAAUAUUGUUGUGUUCUGAGUAUUCCGAUGUAGGCCAAAAUGGUGAAGAUUUAAACAUCAACCCGAAUUAAUAAGACUGAGAAGUUCUACUUUAAGUAAACGGGUGAACCUAGAUGCAACAAAGCUCUGCCAUUAUCCGUGGAGAUUAUUAGUUCAUGUGUAUUGUGUUCUUUUUGUCGGUUAAUGUAUUUUCUUGUUUGUCA